CACGUAGGAGGCAAACGUUAUCCGGAUUUACUGGGCGUAAAGCGCGUGUAGGUGGUUCUGUAAGUAGGGCGUGAAAGCUCCCGGCUCAACUGGGAGAGGCCGUUCUAAACUGCAGAGCUAGAGGAUGGUAGAGGGAGGUGGAAUUCCAGGUGUAGCGGUGGAAUGCGCAGAUAUCUGGAGGAACACCAGUGGCGAAGGCGGCCUCCUGGACCAUUCCUGACACUCAGACGCGAAAGCUAGGGUAGCAAACGGGAUUAGAUACCCUGGUAGU
rnacentral:rRNA from 1 species